AACGAACGCUGGCGGCGUGGAUAAGACAUGCAAGUCGAACGGGAACUUCAGCUGUAGCAAUACAGUUGAAGUUUUAGUGGCGAACGGGUGCGUAACACGUGGGCAAUCUGCCGAGAAGUGGGGGAUAGCUCGCCGAAAGGCGAAUUAAUACCGCAUAUGAUCAGCUAAGACAUCUUAGCGACAUCAAAGCCGGGGCAACCUGGCGCUUUUUGAGGAGCCCGCGGCCUAUCAGCUAGUUGGUGAGGUAACGGCUCACCAAGGCUAUGACGGGUAGCUGGUCUGAGAGGACGACCAGUCACACUGGAACUGAGACACGGUCCAGACACCUACGGGUGGCAGCAGUCGAGAAUUUUUCUCAAUGGGGCAACCCUGAAGGAGCGACGCCGCGUGGAGGAUGAAGGCUUUCGGGUUGUAAACUCCUGUCAUUUGAGAACAAGGUGCAUCGGUUAACUGCCGAUGCAUUGAUAGUAU
rnacentral:rRNA from 1 species